CACACCUGCACCAUGUGCCAGCAGCUUAAGCAGCAAACACACCACACGUGCUACAACAGGCAGCCAUGUCUCAAAGGCUCAGGAGAGUAGUCUAUGAGGCACCAAUCAGUCAGGGGUCCCAGCACAGUGAUUCAAGAGCAGCCGAUACCAGUCCAGGAGAUUGGUUAUAGUUAGAUAUCUUAUCAGCGUGAUCUCAGUCUGUGCCUCUCAUUCAAGAGAGGGUCAUGGUCUGUCAAUGACUCUAUAGCAGCUGGUCUGGGGCUUGGAGGAACUAGGGCAAUGCAGUUCUGGAGAUGUAUAGGCGUCAGUCAGGGGUCUGGUCACCUCUCAUCCAGGGCUCUGCACUUGGCAUGGUCAGCUCAGGGACUGAGGGGGAAAUGGUGGGUAAGUGAAGACUCAUGUGGCCAUGUUAGGUGGAGACCUGGGCAGGUGAGAAGCCUAUGGAAUUCAUGGGAAGGGCUAUCAGGAGAGGUUCUGAACAUUCAGAGGCCUCACUGACUUGUAGAGACAGAGUCUGGAAGCCAAUAGCUAAUAUGUGCUCACUGUCAUCUUCCAUUGUGGUGAAAUUUGAAACUAUAUAUUGGGGAGAAAAAUGGCUGCAGACAUACAUGGAGUGGAAGAGAGUAAGUGUCCCAUGCUCUGAGGGGGGGGGGCGGGGGGUCUACAAAGCCCACAAAUCAACGUUACACACAGAGCCAUGUCCUGAUCACAGAUGUGCCCCAGUUAUCACUGACCUCUUCAUUCAGAUAAACACUUCUGGAAACAGAGGGCAGGGGCAGAAUAUCAAUAUUUUAGCACGAGAGGCAAUAACCCAUGUCCCUGUGUGCACCUUGUUCAUUUUGUUUUCAUAUGUGGCAACAGACUCUAUUCAUGAUGCAUCCAGCAUGGACAUGAAGUUAGGCGUUGUGUUAGCACAGUAAUAUUCAGGGCUACGCAGAGACUCAAUAAAUGGGUGCAAUACAAAACAGUACAAAUGUGGUACUUCAUAUACAGUGCAUUGUUCACCCAUGCCAUCAAAACGGCUGUAAUAGGUUUCUUUCUUACUUUCCCUCCCGCUGCAUCUCAGUGAUGUACCAGCUUCUGCAGCUGAGCUGGAGGAGCUGUUGGCCCUGGAGAUCUGAUCAGGUAAACCCAGGAGGUGUUUGUGUCUGGACAAGGAUCUUGUGCCAGAGUCAAGUGAAUUCUCAACUUGAAUGUCCAAGGCUGAGAGGUGGUGGAGAGAGUAUAGUGGAUGGUGCUGCCACUUCAGGAAUGUCCUGAGAAGAGACUUCUGAGGGGCAUGUAUUUCCUCCGGCUGGGUUCCCUUCAGACACUUGCCCUUCUUUUUGAGAGGAAAGGAGAUCUGGAGUAAGUGGCCAGUACCCAUCUCUCCCAUCACAGCCCUUUGUCCUGAGGCCCACUGGCUGUGGUGAUGGACUGUACCUGGACCUGUCUGUCAAUGCCAGCACCAGCCUGUUUAUUGAGGCAGCCAGACCAUCACAUGCUUAAGGCAACUAGAUCCCCAUGGAGUAGCUGCCAUUGCCUCUCACAUCCCUGUCUGCUCAUCCUGGUCUUCCCUGGACUGUUGGUGCUGGUGAAGGUGGUUGAAAGCAGGAGGCCUGGGUAUCUGAGGAGACAGUGCACAGGCCAUGCAGGGUUAGUGAUAUUGAAGUCGAGGGAUCAUUACCAUUGUAUCAUUAUCUCCUCAGAAAGAUUUCACAGCAAACACUUUCAACAAUCCUCAGAUGUGGUGUUUGAUGAUUCAGUGCUUCAACGUUUAAUGAUUUUGAUCUCUCCAUAUUUUAUGAUUGUGCACAAAGGAUGGCUACAAUUUAAUCUGGAAUAAUCCUAUUUAUCAGCCCCAUAUUUAUUGAAACAUUUGUCGAGAUGGGAUUCAUUUAGUUCAAGGGAAUAUUAAGCUGUUCAAAAAUGUCCCUAUGUCUUUCAAAAUCUACAACAAGUGAUGAACUUUGCCCAUCAUUGGGUAAAGGGAUCAUUUGAUUGGGAACUCAUUUAUAAAAGCCUCCAAUUCAGUUCUCUGUUAGAGUUGACCUUACUGAGCUCACCCAGAAAGAACUGAAGCUCACAGAACUGUAGCUUAAGGAGGACAAAAAAAAAAUUGUCAUUUCUGUUCUAAAUCACAAUUUGGUGCUUCCUUUGGAAUGUGCAAUGGAUUGGAAGCUUUAGUUGGUUUCAAAAUAGAAUUGAAUAUGAGGCUGAACAGAUCAUUGGUAGUAAGGUGAUACCAUCCAUUUGGAAUAAUAAUACAAGGCAAAAGAUGCCUCCUGUAUUUAGAUAAGAAGUGUUAGGCCUUCAGUGGUUGAAUUGUCUACCAAUGUGCACUGUCUAGGCUUGAUGAAUCACAUGAUCAAUGUUAUACUGUAUAAGCAGCACCACCUCUAGAAUAUACUUAAUACAAACCUCAAGGAGAUGCAUGGAAAAACUGGGCAAAAAAGUAAUUGAUUUAAGUAUUGUUGGUGGAUUAUUGUGUUUAGAACAAAAACAUGACAUUUUCUUUCUGUUCAGUAGAAUUAAUUUUUGUAAUGCCAUUCGAGUGAAAUACUGUCCUCUGUCUAUUAAAGCUUCCAGCAGCAGUAAGGCAGCAGGCAUGCCAUCAGUGCCUCCAGGACCUCCUGUGUACCUUGACCUGGUAUACAUUCCAAAUCACUGCAGUGCCAAGACUGUGGAUGCAGAGUUUUUCAAACGAGUGAGAUCUUCCUACUAUGUAGUGAGUGGAAAUGACCAUGCAGCGGAUGAACCAAGCAGGGCUGUACUGGAUGCUCUCCUGGAGGGCAAGUCUCAGUGGAGUAGUAAUAUGCAGGUUACUUUAAUCCCAACCCAUGACUCAGAAGUCAUGAGGGAAUGGUACCAGCAAACGCAUGAGAAGCAACAGGACCUGAACAUCAUGGUACUAGCAAGUAGCAGCACUGUCGUCAUGCAAGAUGAAUCGUUCCCUGCGUGCAAGAUCGAAUUGUAACUGGGAGUCCCAUAUAACCAGAACAUUCAACCAGUUGUCUAAGGGGAAGCACUCAAAUGGAAAUUUUUAAAAAAAUGAGGGAAAGCAGAUAUAAAUAAGUGUCUGCUGAAUAUUGUACGAUAGAUUUGUUAUACAGGUCACUAGCGUGUAACACUUUCCAGACUAUUUAGUUCCUAUGCUAAGGCAACACUUUCGUAUUCCUAAACAAGUAACAACAGGGUUUAAAAUACUUGAAUCAGCCAAGCUCCGUAUCCAUUACGUUUGGGCUGUGGUUGAUCCUCGUUCAAGAUUUUUAUGUUUUGAAGAAACUGAUUUAGUGAAAGAAAAGCUACAUGAUUCUUACCUGUGGGGACAGAACUUUUACACAAAAUAAACCACCACAACAAUAAUUGAAAUGUGUGAAAUUUAGCUUUUUAAUGACUACAAUGCUGUGCAAAGGCAGUACACAACUCCAUGUGGUAAUGCAACAUGUGCUAAACUCACAAGUAUUUUGAACCCUAUUCACGUAACCAACCCAUCCACCCACCGCCCAUUAAUAUGCAGAGAUAUUUAACUAAGGCAUGUUCCCUGUGUACCAGCUUCUUGACAGAUGUAAUUCUGCAUAUGAACAUGGCAUAUUGCCAUUAAGCCUUGAUAAAACUGCAUGCUUAAAAAAAAAGACAGCUAAUAUACUUAAGCAGAAACCAAAGGAGUUGGGAGUACACAUACUAGUCAUUUUGCCUUAGACAGUGACUUGAAUGUAUUGUGAUCUAGGUUGCACUUUUUAAAAAAAAUGAGGCAGACAACAGAUCAGCAGUAAAGAUCAGUAUAGGACAGUAGUUUGGGUAAUGCUGUGAAGUAUGUGGGUGUGAGUGUGUUUGUAUGUGUAUAUGACCCUACAAUAUCCUUAAGACCAGUCAUAGCAUAUGUUAAAAUGUGAUGUAUGCUUUAUUUUCUAAUUUUUUUUAAGCAAGCACAGGUUCAGGUAGAAUUGGAAUAUUGAAGAAGAAUCAUUCCAAAUAUGCAGAAAGUUUUCUUCUUUUUAAGUUACGUUAACAUAUUAUUAAUGAGGACCUAUUAAUGAGGACCCUCCGUUCUUGUUGCAAGAAUUAUUUAUUUUUAUAACCAAAAACAUCAAUUAAGGUUUAAUGGGUGGAUCAAUGAUGUUGAUUUGGGCAGAGUGUGCUCUUGUAACUAGCUAAACCAUUGGCCAUUUAUAAUGCUAAAAAAAAUCACCUUAUAGAAAUCCUUAUAAUUGAAUAUUACAUCCAUGUUUUACAUGAUCUUAUAAUGUGCAGUCACUGAUGUAAUAUUGUUAAUGUUGUACAGUUCAAAAUUGAAUUGUCUAUUUCAAAUUCUAUUUGAAAAAGAUCCAACAGUGGAAAAGCACUUUGCCAUAACUACUUCAACAUGUUGUACCUGCACAACAUUUGUAACCAUAAAAUUUAGUUUCACCUGAAAACAAACUCAAGACACAAUUGUACAGGUGUAAGUCUAAGUAUACCAGAUUGUAUGAUGAACAGAAUUGUAGCUUUUUGUUAUAUAAAGGGUUUAGAAAGGUUGAAUGCAUUUCUUCUCCCUAACUUGAAAAGUGUGGGAAUACAGUGUCAAAAACAGGGAUGCACUCAAACAAAAUCUUCUUAUAUUGUACUGGUUAAAAAGAAGUGCUGCUUGUUUUGGGGGGAAUAAACUAGGCAAUUUCAUGUUGUACCAUACUGAAUUUCCAUUAGGGAUAUUGCUAUUGGAAAUACCAGAAAUUUCAGAAAUUAACUUCCACUGUUUAAAUAUGUCUGUAGAAGAUGAUAUUCAUUGGUUAGUUGAAGAUUGAAGUAAGGCUGGAAAAAAUAAAGCUAUUUUUAGUCAGAUGGUGUAUUCAUUAGCAGUUCAGCAUCCACUGAGCAGUGUAAUCAGAGUCUACAUAUGCCAUUUAGAUAUCAAGACAAUUGCAAAUCUCUUUGUAAAGAUUGGUCAUACUUUAGUUCCUACUUUCCUAGUAAAACUAGUAAGGAAGCUUGCACAUUUUGUGAAUGUGAUAUUUUUGAGUUAAGAAUGUGUUUUUUUGGUAAACACAUUUGGUUUGUUGAAUCAGGGAAUAUUCAAUUUAGGAGAAGCACAGGCUUUGAAAUGGUUAAUAAAUGCUUACAGGUUCAAACAAGUCAUAAUGGGAUCUUGAUUAAGCCAAUAAACAGUAGUGCACUAUAAAGCUCAAUGCGACAUAAGAUGUGAAAAUGAAAUGUUAAUGAUAAUCUGAAGCCCAUUACCUUCUGGUAGUUUGGAAUCAACCUUGUAUGUUUGCCAUUUCAUGGUUUGCAGUUUCUCAGUUAAAGAUUGAAUGGCUGAGAGCAAGAUGCUGUCUACAUCUUUGUAACAAGGAUAUACUUCUCUUUUAUACCAGUUUGACAGCAGUUUCUUUACUGAAAUAUUUGCAGGUAUUCACCUGCAGCCAAAAGUUUCAUUGGAUUAUGGUAUCAUCUAUCAUUUAAAUGUUGAAUUCUAUAUUGAAAUUUUAAAUUGGGAUUUAAAUAUUAUGGCCUCGUAACUACUUUGGUGAAAAGCAGGGAUACCGUAUAGCUAGUGUAUACACCUUCCAGAACACCUAUACAGAUUACUACUUACAAACACGGAUCAUUACUUUUAAUUGCAUUUUCCACCUGACACUGAUUCCCAGAAAAAUAACUGCAUGAGGACAGUGUAGGCUUACUGACCUUUUCAUAACCCUUCAUAUCUGAUUUAACUUCCUUCUCCAUUGUGGUCAAAAAUACCCACUGUUGGAUCUAACUAAUGAGCCUUAGUCUGGAAUUAGGUGACCCUUGACCCCACUGGUUGUAACCUUGUCCGAUAUACAAUUUAAAUAGCUGCUUACCCACAGAUAUGACCUCAUUUUUGUAUAGUACUUUUUUUUAAAAAAGGAAAAAAAGCUGAUUGUUUUAUUUUUAAAUACUUUAUGUGAACAAAAGUGUGAUGCAAAGUUGUUUUAACAGAAAAUGAAAGCACCAUUAUGUUUGCACUGUUUUUGUACACAGCUUUCCUAAUGUGGGCAGGCUUCAUCAGAGUCAAAUUUUUCAUGUGGCUUCAGAUACUCAACUUAUGCAAUAUUACAUUGUAUUAUAAAGUUUUGUUAUUGUGGUAUUUUAUUUGAAGAUAUUUUUCCAAGCAGGUUAUUUAAGAAGGUUUACUGAAGCACAUGGUUUUAAAUUAUUUGUUUCUGCUAUUUGAAAACAAAACACCUUUUCUUAAUUUUAGCUUCUGCAAUUAAUGCCAAAACUCCAAGUAAUUUUAGGUAAUCUAAAAGUGUUUGUUUUGUAUCUGUAUUGUUAAAUGCCAGCUAAGUUAAAUUCCUUCCUUUUAAAGGACAACUUUUCACCCUUGGUAUCCUAAUUAUAAUUAUGUAGAAGUUUAAAACGUCAGUGACCAUGUAUUUUAUAUUUGACUUGUUUGAGCUGCUCAAAGCUGCUGCUGUCUAAGACUGUUAUUGCUGUGCCAUGGUCCUCUGACAUAAUUUACUAGAGGUGAGGGAAUUCAACUCCACAUUCUAGCCCUCUUGUUAGCCACACUGUCAGGGCAAGGUGCAAAUGAAGCCCUUGAUGUUUCCUUCAAAGACAGGAUUUUUAAACAAGUCAAGCCCUGAUACUAUUUCUACAUAUCUUCUACUAGUUGGCUGAAGAACAGUGUAGCAGAGGCUGGAAGCAGAUUGAAGGUGGGAGGCAUUUUAUCAAAGUCCAAAUGUGACACCAAACCACCCACUUCCUUCCCUUUGUGCUCAUUGCACAUCUGACUAGCAUGAUUUCUCGAAUCAUGGAGAAAUACAAAUAUUAUUCAAAAGAUUCAAGCAAAUUAUUGAAAUGUUUCUUCAUACAGGGGACCAUCCUUGGCACAGCUUUGAAAACAGACAUGAGAAAUGUGAUAGCCUUGGUUUUGUGACUCCAAUUUCUUAAUACUAGUAACUUUUGUUUUUUACUAAUUUAUUUGAACACAGCAGUUUUAAAGAUUUAGUUCCAUUACAAUCCAUAGCUACAAAAUUAUAAACUGUGAGAUCAGAGCUACCGCAUUUCUUUUUUAUAUUAAACCUUUUUCAAUUGGAUAGCUCUUUGAAAGAGUAGCAAAAGCAUGAAGAGCUGAAAAGCCUGCUUCAGCACUGUAUGGCUUUCAUCUAAAACCAAGGGUUACAUUUAAAGAUUUUGUAAUAUAAACUUCUAAUUUAUUAUUUUUGAAAUGAGUUUGUUAUGACUGUUUCAGAUACAACUCUUCCCUACAACUCUUUGGAAUCAUAAUGAAUCCUCUAGGUAGAUAGUUGUGUUAUCAUGUGUUAGGAACAUUGAAAGCGUUGAGAGAAUGUGCAUGUGGAAUGCUGUUUAAUUGAUGUCCCUGUAUAAAAUGUUUUUGGAGAUUUGCUUCAAUUUCCUUUGAAUGCAUCUUUACACUUUUUCAAAUGGUACUGGUUCAAGGUUGCAUACUUAUUUGCCUAGAGCAAGGUACACAAAUGUACAGCAGUACAUGACAUUUUGCUCGUGGUACACUUUUUCAUAGGGCUGCAUUUCUUCAAAUGCAUUGUACUUUUAAAGCUGAACUUCCCACAGGACCCUUUCCCCAGGUCUUCCUUUUCAUUCAUUUUUUUCUGAAAACCAGUAGGAUAUUCCAUAGGAGUCACUUUUUUCAGCAUAUAAAUGAAACUUCAAAACCUGGCUUUCAGAAAAGAGAUUCAAAUGCAGUAGGAAAGCAUGGAAUUAAAAUGAUGACAACAAAUACAGAAAUAUGGGAAAGGGGGGUAAAUCUCUGAUAGUCAAAGUGUGCAUUUUGUAAGAGAAAAAAGCGAGUUACGUUUUAUGAUUGCACCCAUGUUUGUUUUGCUGUUUCAUGUUUGUAUUUCCUGCAGACAUGAAGAUCAUUUUACUAAGUCAGACAAUUCAUCGCUGUGUAAUUGUGAGAUUUCACUAUGGUAAUAAAUGUCAAUAUUAAAAGGAUCUUGGUAAGAAGCCAAACUUUUGUGCUGUGAAAGCAUGGAAACUUCAUGGUAGAUUUUAUGAAAUUAGUUUGCCUGAAUUUAACAAUUCGUACAAUUUUUUUCAGUGUGAUAAUUGGUUAAAAGCCUUCAAACUCACAAUGUCAGUAAGGUGAAAAUGAUUGCGUACUUCUUUCUGAUGGUUCCUACGGAUUUUGAGGAUCAAAGAGCUAGCUGUGAUGAAUUGCCAUAAUUAAGUGGGUUUGAACAUGUUACAUUCCAACAACCAAUCAUUUUUUUUGAAAUAGACAAUCUGCUGAUAUCCUGCCAUGGUUAAUUUUCUUCCAGAUUUAUAUACUGUAUCCAAACUAAUACACUAGGCUUUGAUGAAACAUUUGUUCAUAAUCCACUUGCAUGUUUAAAGUUUACAAUGCCACUCAUUUCCACCUUACUACAAACAGGUGCCCGUUGAUGGUAGUUUGUGGAUCAAACGGGUAUACGUUGAGAAAUCUGUUUUAAUUAUAAGAACAAUUAUGUAUGAUAAAAUUGUGAUAGUAAAAAUGGCGAGGGAAUUGCUCACUUUUAGACAUCAGAAUAAAUGUGUGUUUGGAGUUCUGAGUGUGUUUUUAAAAUGAAUCUCAUUAUAAAAGUUGAAUUUUGUGUGUGAGGCACCACAUUUGUAGCAGUGACCAUGAUGGUAUGUCAGUUGAUUUACUAAGUGAUACUGUUUAUGGGAUGUUUGUGACAUUACAAAGUAAUAGUGACCAAAAACUGUUCAUGUCUAAUGCCCGGGUAAGUGACUGCAACCAAUUCUGUGACUGCAACCAAUCUUGUGACUGUCCAAAUUUACUCUCAUCCUUAAUUCACAGAUGUUCCGCUGAUGACUUGUAAAAAUGAAUAGACUGCGAACAUAAAAUAUCUGCUUAAACACUUGCAUGCAGUUUUAUCUUCCAAAUAUGGAAAGCACCAGCCUCACAGCUGGCUGAGCAGCAACUCACAAUCCUCCCAUUAUCUGAAUAAUGUUUUAUGUGUCAAACUGCAGCUGUGUAUGGUAUUUAUGUCUUAUAAUCCUGCAAAAUUCUAACCAGUCAUAUCUAAUGUAGAACUUAGUUUUCAGUGAAAGUAUUAUGUAGUGCUUUUCAGAUAUUGUGUGCAAUAUCCCCUGCCACUGGAGUAUUUGAUGUAAAGGGAACAAUUAAAUUAAAACCCACAAUAAAAUUAAAUUCGACAA